GGGUUAUUACCACGUAAUAAUUGAUGAGGACACUAAGGGCUAAGAGGAGUUAAUUAACUUGUCCCCAGUUACAGAGUCGGAAAUCAGGGAUGGAUCUUAAUUGGUGGGACUGUUCCCAGGGCCUGUGAGAGACUGGGUUUCAGCCCAGAGCCCAACACAGCGCCGGAAGACAAAGUAUCAGGGCAGUGGUUUUCAAAGUGUGGUCCCUGGACCAAUAGCAUGAACAUCAUCUUGGAACUUGUCAGAAAUGGAAGUUCCCAGGCCCCAUGCCAAACCUACUGAAUUGGAAACACUAGGAGUGGGACACAGCUAUCUGACCAAGACUUCCAGGUGAGUCUCAGGCAUUAUCUUCAUCUGUGUGGGUAAGACUGCAAUCUCAGGCACACCUCUCUUCUAGCUCAAGGAAAAGCGAAAGAGAGGAAGUCCAGUCCAAUCAAUUUUCUUUUAGGCCAGUGACGUGUAAAUGGCAAACACCACUUCUGCUUAUAUCCAGUUGAUGACCACGUUGUCAUAGCCACACUCAGCCACAAAGUCAGCUGCCAACUGUAGCCUCUAGCAGUUGUCCAUUGCACAGGAAGAAGGGAAGAACUGAUUUUGAAGGCAUAACUGACCAUAAUCCCGCUAAAGGAAACAGGACAUCCUAAGACGGCUGCUGAAAUCACUACCCUUGCUGAUGGAAACUCACAUCUCCGAGCCUUUGGCAAGGGCUUUAAUAAAAUCUCCUUUUAGAAAUGACUUCUUAUAGCCUGCUAUUAAUUAUCCUGGUUGGAGGAGAACA
rnacentral:lncRNA from 1 species